AAGGGCACACAAAGGAUGCCUAGGUAGUAAGAGCCGAUGAAGGACGUGGUAAGCUGCGAUAAGCCUAGAUAAGUUGCAAUCGAACGUAAGAGUCUAGGAUUUCCGAAUGGAGCAAUCUAUUAAGAUGGAGUCUUAAUACGAAAGAGGGA
rnacentral:sRNA from 2 species